GACGAACGCUGGCGGCGUGCCUAACCUAUGCGAGUCGAGCGGUUUUGGUUUCCAACGCAAGGCGGAGACCGAGACAGCGGCGAACGGGUGAGUAACGCGUGAGGAACCUACCCUGGGGCCUGGGAUAGCUCGUCGAAAGACGGGAUAAUACCGGGUACGCUCUUUUUUCCGCGUGGAGAGAAGAGGAGAGCCGCAAGGCGCCCUAGGAUGGACUCGCGUCCUAUCAGCUAGUUGGCAGGGUAACGGCCUACCAAGGCGACGACGGGUAGCUGGUCUGAGAGGAUGAUCAGCCACACUGGGACUGAGACACGGCCCAGACUCCUACGGGAGGUUGCAAGGGGGAAUAUUGCGCAAUGGACGAAAGCCUGAUGCAGCGACGCCGCGUGAGGGAUGACGGCCUUCGGGUUGUAAACCUCUUUCAGCAGGGACGAAGCGCAAGUGACGGUACCUGCAGAAGAAGCACCAGCUAACUACGUGCCAGCAGCCGCGGUAACAC
rnacentral:rRNA from 1 species